CGCAUCUGUGCAUGCAGCAUAUCAAUAAGCGGAGGAAAAGAAACUAACAAGGAUUCCUCUAGUAACGGCGAGUGAAGCGGGAAGAGCUCAAAUUUGAAAUCUUAAAGGGUUUCCCUUUACGAAUUGUAGUUUAAAGAAGUGUUUUCUGUUGAGGUUUUGGUAAAAGUUCUUUGGAAUAGGACAUCAUAGAGGGUGAGAAUCCCGUAUUUGACCUUUACUUUCAACUUUGUGGAUACACUUUCAAAGAGUCGGAUUGUUUGGGAAUGCAGUCCAAAAUGGGUGGUAAAUUUCAUCUAAAGCUAAAUAUUGGCGAGAGACCGAUAGCGAACAAGUACCGUGAGGGAAAGAUGAAAAGAACUUUGAAAAGAGAGUUAAACAGUACGUGAAAUUGUCAAAAGGGAAGCGUUUGACACCAGUGUUGUUUUUCUGAAAAGUCAAUUAAAGAACUGUUUAUGCUAAGCUUGUUUAGACUUUAUCAGCUAUCUGUUUAGUUUUGAGCUUUUCUUUAAUGCACUUUUCAGUUAACAAGUCAACAUCAAUUUCUUUUGCUGUAAAAAAGCUUGAGGAAGGUGGCUUGAGAUUCGUCUUAAGUGUUUAUAGCCUCUUGCCUAUGCAGUCGGAGAGAUUGAGGUCUGCAGCGUAGAUCCUUCGGGGCUAAAUACAUUUGUGCUAAGUUAUAGCAUUUUAUAGACAACUUGUUGACUAUGAUUUGUCUUGUAGCUUACUCGCUUAUGUUAUUUUACCUACGCUUAGGAUGUUGAAUCUGUGCGAGACUAC
rnacentral:rRNA from 1 species